AGAGUUUGAUUCUGGCUCAGAACGAACGCUGGCGGCGUGGAUAAGACAUGCAAGUCGAACGGAUUCGUUGGUGUAGCAAUACACUGGCGGGUCAGUGGCGCAAGGGUGCGUAACACGUGGGCAACCUGCCCUGGAGUCUGGAAUAGCCCGCCGAAAGGCGGAUUAAUCCCGGAUGUGGCUAGCGAUGGAGUCAUCGCGACGCUAAAGGUGGCGCAAGCUGCCGCUCCUGGAUGGGCCCGCGGCCUAUCAGCUAGUUGGUUGAGGUAACGGCUCACCAAGGCGAUGACGGGUAGCUGGUCUGAGAGGACGACCAGCCACACUGGAACUGAGACACGGUCCAGACACCUACGGGUGGCAGCAGUCGAGAAUUUUUCGCAAUGGGGGAAACCCUGACGGAGCGACGCCGCGUGGAGGAUGAAGGUCUUCGGAUUGUAAACUCCUGUCAUUGGUGAACAAAGUCUUCCGGUUAACUGCCGGGGGAUCUGCUAGUAGCCGAAGAGGAAGGGACGGCUAACUCUGUGCCAGCAGCCGCUGUAAUACAGAGGUCCCGAGCGUUGUUCGGAUUCAUUGGGCGUAAAGGGUGCGUAGGCGGUCUUCUAAGUUUGAUGUGAAAUCCCGGGGCUCAACCCUGGAAUUGCAUUGAAUACUGGAGGACUAGAGUACUGGAGAGGAAACUGGAAUUUACGGUGUAGCAGUGAAAUGCGUAGAGAUCGUAAGGAAGACCAGUGGCGAAGGCGAGUUUCUGGACAGUAACUGACGCUGAGGCACGAAGGCCAGGGGAGCAAACGGGAUUAGAUACCCCGGUAGUCCUGGCAGUAAACGGUGCAUGUUUGGUGUGGGAGGAAUCGACCCCUUCCGUGCCGGAGCUAACGCGUUAAACAUGCCGCCUGGGGAGUACGGUCGCAAGAUUAAAACUCAAAGAAAUUGACGGGGGCCCGCACAAGCGGUGGAGUAUGUGGCUUAAUUCGAUCCACGCGAAGAACCUUACCUGGGCUUGACAUGCAUCUCUAAGGCGGUGAAAGCCGUCGAGUGGAGCAAUCCACAAUUUGCACAGGUGCUGCAUGGCUGUCGUCAGCUCGUGUCGUGAGAUGUUGGGUUAAGUCCCGCAACGAGCGCAACCCUUGUGAUCUGUUGCCACCGGCCUUUUGGCCGAGCACUCUGAUCAGACUGCCCUGUGAAACGGGGAGGAAGGUGAGGAUGACGUCAAGUCAGCAUGGCCCUUACGCCCAGGGCUGCACACGUACUACAAUGCACAGUACAGAAGGAGCCGAGACCGCGAGGUGGAGGAAAUCACGAAAACUGUGCCCAAUUCGGAUCGCAGGCUGCAACUCGCCUGCGUGAAGCCGGAAUCGCUAGUAAUGGCGCAUCAGCUACGGCGCCGUGAAUACGUUCCCGGGCCUUGUUCACACCGCCCGUCACAUCAUGGGAGUCGUUUGUACCCGAAGCCG
rnacentral:rRNA from 1 species